rnacentral:tRNA from 1 species
GGCUUCAUAGCUUGGUUGGUUAGAGCAUCGCACUCUUUUCGCGGGGUCACAUGUUCAAGCCAGGUUAAAGUCC